rnacentral:rRNA from 1 species
UACGGAGGGUGCAAGCGUUAUCCGGAAUCACUGGGUUUAAAGGGUGCGUAGGCGGUCUUGUAAGUCAGUCGUGAAAUCACUGGGCUCAACCCAUGUAAUUGCGAUUGAUACUGCAGGACUUGAAUUGGGUUUAGGCAGGCGGAAUGUGACAUGUAGCGGUGAAAUGCAUAGAUAUGUCAUAGAACACCGAUUGCGAAGGCAGCCUGCUGGGCCUUGAUUGACGCUGAGGCACGAAAGCGUGGGGAGCAAACAGG